AACGAACGCUGGCGGCAGGCCUAACACAUGCAAGUCGAGCGCCCCGCAAGGGGAGCGGCGGACGGGUGAGUAACGCGUGGGAAGAUGCCCUUUGCUACGGAAUAGUCUCGGGAAACUGGGGGUAAUACCGUAUACGCCCUUUGGGGGAAAGAUUUAUCGGCGAAGGAUUAGCCCGCGUUGGAUUAGGUAGUUGGUGGGGUAAUGGCCUACCAAGCCGACGAUCCAUAGCUGGUUUGAGAGGAUGAUCAGCCACACUGGGGCUGAGACACGGCCCAGACUCCUACGGGAGGCAGCAGUGGGUAAUCUUAGACAAUGGGGGCAACCCUGAUCGAGCCAUGCCGCGUGAGUGAUGAAGGCCUUAGGGUUGUAAAGCUCUUUCAGCUGGGAAGAUAAUGACGGUACCAGCAGAAGAAGCCCCGGCUAACUCCGUG
rnacentral:rRNA from 1 species